GGGCCCCUAGCUCAGCUGGUCAGAGCAGCUGACUCAUAAUCAGCGGGUCGCAGGUUCGAAUCCUGCGGGGCCCA
rnacentral:tRNA from 1 species